GGUAUCAUGACCGUGCGAAGGUAGCAUAAUCAUUAGUCUCUUAAUUGGGGGCUGGAAUGAAUGGUUGGACGAGAAAUUAGCUGUCUUAGUUUUGAAAAUUGAAUUUAACUUUUAAGUGAGAGGGCUUAAAUGGGCUAGAGGGACGAUAAGACCCUAUAAAGUUUGUACAUUAAACUAAUUAAAGGUGAUUUGGGUUUAUAAAAUCUACCAUUGGGGAAGUGUUUAGUUGGGGCGAUUGGGAUAUAAGUUAUCUAACUGUUUCUUUGUUUGAAUCAAAAAUAUUUGAGUUUAUGAUCCUUUUUUAGGAUUAAAGAGUAAAUUACUUUAGGGAUAACAGCGUAAUUUUUUUUGAGAGUUCUUAUCGAUAAGAGAGUUUGCGACCUCGAUGUUGAAUUAAAAUUUC
rnacentral:rRNA from 1 species